rnacentral:rRNA from 1 species
AUUGAACGCUGGCGGCAGGCCUAACACAUGCAAGUCGAACGAGUGGCGGACGGGUGAGUAAUGUCUGGGAAACUGCCUGAUGGAGGGGGAUAACUACUGGAAACGGUAGCUAAUAACGCCUACCAUCAGAUGUGCCGAGAUGGGAUUAGCUAGUUGGUUGGGUAACGGCUCACCAAGGCGACGAUCCCUAGCUGGGCUGAGAGGAUGACCAGCCACACUGGAACGGAGAUACGGUCCAGACUCAUACGGGAGGCAGCAGUGGGGAAUAUUGCAUAAGGGGCGCGAGCCUGAUCCAGCCAUGCCGCGUGUAUGAAGAAGGCCUUCGGGUUUGAAAGGACUGUCAGCGUGGAGGAGGUACCCUAAGAAGAAGCACCGGCUAACUCCGUGCCAGCAGCCGCGGUAAUAC